rnacentral:rRNA from 1 species
UACGAAGGGGGCUAGCGUUGCUCGGAAUCACUGGGCGUAAAGCGUGCGUAGACGGUUAUUUAAGUCGGGUGUGAAAGCCCCGGGCUCAACCUGGGAAUUGCAUUCGAGACUGAAUAGCUAGGGUACGGUAGAGGGAAGCGGAAUUUCCGGUGUAGCGGUGAAAUGCGUAGAUAUCGGAAGGAACAUCAGUGGCGAAAGCGGCUUCCUGGACCAGUACCGACGUUCAGGCACGAAAGCGUGGGGAGCAAACAGG